rnacentral:rRNA from 1 species
UAGGGAAUCUUCCGCAAUGGACGAAAGUCUGACGGAGCAACGCCGCGUGAGUGAAGAAGGAUUUCGGUUCGUAAAACUCUGUUGUUAGGGAAGAAAAAAUGUAUAGUAACUAUAUACAAAAGAGACGGUACCUAACCAGAAAGCCCCGGCUAACUACGUGCCAGCAGCCGCGGUAAUACGUAGGGGGCUAGCGUUGUCCGGAAUCACUGGGCGUAAAGGGUUCGCAGGCGGAAAUGCAAGUCAGGUGUAAAAGGCAGUAGCUUAACUACUGUAAGCAUUUGAAACUGCAUAUCUUGAGAAGAGUAGAGGUAAGUGGAAUUUUUAGUGUAGCGGUGAAAUGCGUAGAUAUUAAAAAGAAUACCGGUGGCGAAGGCGACUUACUGGGCUCAUUCUGACGCUGAGGAACGAAAGCGUGGGUAGCAAACAGG